UACGAAGGGGGGCUAGCGUUGUUCGGAAUUACUGGGCGUAAAGGGCGCGUAGGCGGUGUGUCAAGUCAGGCGUGAAAGCCCCCGGGCUCAACCUGGGAACCGCGCUUGAGACUGGCACGCUAGAGUUCGGGAGAGGAUGGUGGAAUUCCCAGUGUAGAGGUGAAAUUCGUAGAUAUUGGGAAGAACACCGAUGGCGAAGGCAGCCAUCUGGACCGACACUGACGCGUGA
rnacentral:rRNA from 1 species